rnacentral:rRNA from 1 species
AUUGAACGCUGGCGGCAGGCCUAACACAUGCAAGUCGAGCGGUAACAGAUUGAUAGCUUGCUAUCAAUGCUGCCGAGCGGCGGACGGGUGAGUAAUGCCUGGGAAUAUACCCUGAUGUGGGGGAUAACUAUUGGAAACGAUAGCUAAUACCGCAUAAUCUCUUCGGAGCAAAGAGGGGGACCUUCGGGCCUCUCGCGUCAGGAUUAGCCCAGGUGGGAUUAGCUAGUUGGUGGGGUAAUGGCUCACCAAGGCGACGAUCCCUAGCUGGUCUGAGAGGAUGAUCAGCCACACUGGAACUGAGACACGGUCCAGACUCCUACGGGAGGCAGCAGUGGGGAAUAUUGCACAAUGGGGGAAACCCUGAUGCAGCCAUGCCGCGUGUAUGAAGAAGGCCUUCGGGUUGUAAAGUACUUUCAGUUGUGAGGAAGGCGUUGGAGUUAAUAGCUUUAGCGUUUGACGUUAGCAACAGAAGAAGCACCGGCUAACUCCGUG